AAGGUCAAGGCUUUAGCCAGGGUGGUUCCUUCCAUAGGCUCUGAGAGAGUGGCAAUCCACAGACUUCUAGUUUCCAUUGACUGCUGGGAAUUCGUGACAUUUGUAGAUGCAUCAUUCUAGCCUCUGGCAUUUUCCUAUGAACUUCAGCCUUGGUCUCCAUGUGUCACCUCUUAUUCUGACUCUUAAGGACAUCCAUUGGUGAGUUUUGGAGUUCAUCGAAACCCAGGGGAAUCUCAUCUUGAGAUACUCUUCUACUUACCAUCAUCAGGUCAUACACUGAGGUUUGUAAAGAAUGACAAUUCAUUAAGGAGCUACUAGUGAAUUAAUGACAACAUUGAUAUAAGGUUUAUUGUAUAGUGAAUUUAUUGUAAAUUAUUUGCAUCAACUGAUUUUACUUUGACAGUGGGAAAGUAAUUGCUUCAUUUUAUAAACGAGGAAGAUAGAAGCAUGAAUGGCCCAGCAGUUUUCCCAGGUAACAUUACUCAGAAACUUUUCCUCUUUUUACCACGAUCACCUAGGGGUUCAUCAGAAUCUCAGUGUCCUAUUUAAUAGCUGGGACCACUCCUACAAAGUCACAUUGUUAAUCUCAGGGCCCUAAAUCAAACUAUCUUUGGCAAAACAUAACAUAUAUGAGAUCACAGCUUCUAUCUGACCAUACCAAAUAUCACUUAUAGAUCCUAGAGUUUGCUUCCAUUUUCUUUUCUUGUGCCUGCAAUAAAAUACCCUAACAAAAGCAACCUGAAGGAGAAAGGGUUUGUCUACUUUGGUUCAUAGUUUGAGAGUACAGAGUAUCAUGAUUGAGAACUCAAAACAUGAGCUUGAGGCACAUCCAUAAUUCAGAACAAAGAGUAUGGAAUGCAUGCAUAUUUGCACUCAGAUCCCAAUUCAAGGAUUGGCGCCACUCACAGUGGGCAGGCAGGAUGCCAAUUAAGGUAAUCAAGGUAAUUUCCCACAGUGAUGCCAAGACCCUUCUUCCAGGAGAGUGUAGAUUCUGUCAAGUGUCAAUCACAGUGUUCUUCCCUAUGGAACUUUGUGUUCACCAACCACCGGCUCCAGGAAGUACUCAGAAUAAAGCCUCUUUCUCAUCUUAGUUCUAGAACUCCCUCCACGCCUCCUUCCUUUAGCAGGGUCUUUUAAAGAAGCAGAUACAAAGAGAGAGAAGGAUUGAGAACAGAGCAGAGGGGAGGAGUGAGGGAAGGUUAGGAGGAGGACUGAACCUCUUCGGUGUCUUUGGUGGCUAGCUGCCAUUGUUACAGCUUCUAGCCUGUCCUCCUCUAUGAUGUGUAUCUGCUGACAGACAUGAGCAAGACUGGGUCACAUCAACACAACGGUCAGCCAGACAGAAGCCCAGGCUCAGAAUCCAGACCCCACCAGACUUUGUUUGAAAUUCAGAGACAGUCUGGGCUUCAGGCACAUUCUUGGAAAAGCUCUGGUGUUAGGAAGAAGCCCGGCUUCAAUUCCUGAGGAAAAAAAAAAAACAACCAACCCAAAACCAGAUAAUGAAUUUAUUUGUAAGGCAGUGAUGGAGGCUGACAGUGAAUUGGAACAAGCAUGGCAAGAAGACAGCAGGUGCUGCUUCCUGGAGCUGAUUCGAUGUGGCAUUCCCAAGUCCAGAAUUAGUUCUUUCUUUAAAGACAGAUUUUUACACACAGUCCAUUCUCUCACAAGUGAGAUAAGCUCAACUUAGAAAGAUAACCUGAGCCACUGAACAUCUCCUGCCUAUUAGUAACAGACCAGAAGGGCCAAGAGCGUGUUUCCAAGCUCCAGAUCUGCCCAUUAAAACCUCUUCAGAGACAAAGGCAAUUGCAAUGAGAGGUAACACAGCUCUCACCGCUGAGACACUGGAGGCCCAGCCGUAUCUGCUCUUUUGACUCUUGCCGGUUCCUCAGCUGCAGUUGUUACCUGACUUCAGAAACUCCCCCUGCAUCUGCUCAGUUCUGUGUCUCCUACACUCACUUUGCUUCGCUCAGUAAUAACCCAAUGGUAACUCAGUCAUUGCUUCAAAACCACUCACUACAAAUGUGGUCUGGAAUUCCUUCCGGAGUCUGUGGCUGCAAACGACUGGCAUAUUCACUAGCCUUUGUGAAGAUUCCUCACCUCUGUAACACUUGAUGUUUGAGCCCUAUGAUCUUUGUUAGGUGGGAUUAUUCUAAGCAGUGUCCUUGAUCUCUACACCCCUGAUGCCAACAGUCCCCUCCCACGCCCGUCUACCCCCUCCCCCCAGUUAUACCAACCAAAAUAACAUCUCUAGUGGUCAAACGUUUCUUAGGGGACACAGUCACCCCAGGCUGAGAAUAAUUGAUAGAGCAGGAGACUAUUUAAAAAACGUAUUGACUUAUUACUGGGCUUCCACAUCUUAAAAAUUCUACCACGCAGAGAGAUACUCAACAUGCAGACUACGGUAACUUAAUGCUAUGGAACUGAACACUUUAUAAUGCUUGAAAUGCUGAAUUUCAUCUCCACUAUAUUCUACCCCAGUUUUAAAGCUGAUUCCAAGCCCUAAUGCCUCAAAGCACCCAGCUAUGCUGUGAAAUGCCUCUGCCCUUACACUUUAUUUCUUCCGUUAUUACUUUAUUUUAUAUUGUUUUAUGUUGUGAAACGUUCUUGCUCUUAGGUGUUAUUCUUCUGUCGAUGCUUUACUUUUUUGUUUGUUUGCCUGCUGCUUGCUUUUUCUGAAACUGAACCCCUGAGCUAAGGAAUCCAGUGACUACAAUCUUAUUUAACAUCAGGACUCUAUAGCUGUUAGAGAGCAUCGUACAGACAUACCAGACUUCUGGGGGCUCCUGAUUUAAGAGGCUUCUUGUGAAACGCAUCAAACCCAGAUCCCCAGAGGACCUGGCCUGUGGGCCACAGAAGCCCAGAGACCUUCCAAAUGCCGUGAUGCUCUUGACAAAAGAUGGUCUGGUGUGGAGCUGUGAGGCCAUUAUUUUCAUUUAAACCAUACAUGUCAUGUCCUGUUUGUGAGAAACACGUUAAACAACUCAGAAACACAUUCGCAGUGGGCUCUGAAGUGGGAUUCACAUUCCGAUGGGCUGGUGUACUGUAAACUGUGGAAGGCUGCUAGGGAGGGUGGGAUUGUUCAUCCUCAAAGCUCUACUGACAAUGGAGCCUUCCUGCUCUUGUCUGAUGUGUGCCUUACAAUUUUCUUCUGCUCCAAAGUAUGGUGAGCCCACAGAAUCUACAGGAGCUGGAGUUCCUUAGAGAUUCUGCCUCAGUACAUUUUAUCUUCGUUGCAAUGUGAAGACUUGGGCUAAGGAAAUAUCUAGAAGGAAGAAAACUGCUCCAUGUCCGCCUACACUGCAGGAGAUGGUCUGUCCACGGCUAAAGGCAACUUAAGGAGUGAGAACCAGCCAGCGAGUAAAAGCAGACUCUGGACGGUGAGCCAUCCCAUAACAAAAGCACCCCAGACAGCAGUGUGCCACCCAAGAGGGUGACGCUCCUCACCCUUUGAUGAGACAAAUGACUGGAACAUGGGGAGAAUCACUCGCGAAAGUGCUAUUUGAACUUUAUGUGCUACACUUACCAAAAAUACAGUAUUUAUAUGCAAACCUCUUAGAGUAGUAGAGUUGAACAUAUUAAAAUUAGAACCUAAAUCUAGGACUGUAGCCAAGUCAAAUAAUAAACAGUGUGAUAACUA